rnacentral:rRNA from 1 species
AGUGAACGCUGGCGGUAGGCCUAACACAUGCAAGUCGAACGGCAGCACAGUAAGAGCUUGCUCUUAUGGGUGGCGAGUGGCGGACGGGUGAGGAAUACAUCGGAAUCUACUUUUUCGCGGGGGAUAACGUAGGGAAACUUACGCUAAUACCGCAUACGACCUACGGGUGAAAGCAGGGGAUCUUCGGACCUUGCGCGAUUGAAUGAGCCGAUGUCGGAUUAGCUAGUUGGCGGGGUAAAGGCCCACCAAGGCGACGAUCCGUAGCUGGUCUGAGAGGAUGAUCAGCCACACUGGAACUGAGACACGGUCCAGACUCCUACGGGAGGCGGCAGUGGGGAAUAUUGGACAAUGGGCGCAAGCCUGAUCCAGCCAUACCGCGUGGGUGAAGAAGGCCUUCGGGUUGUAAAGCCCUUUUGUUGGGAAAGAAAAGCAGCAGGUUAAUACCCCGCUGUUCUGACGGUACCCAAAGAAUAAGCACCGGCUAACUUCGUG